AGACUGCUGAGCUGUCACUGGACUGCGAGAGGAUUUGAUAGGCAGACGGGCUUUGUUUAGGGCCCACGUGACCCAUUAUACACCGAGUGUGCUGGCUGGCCCACGUAAUCACAAAGUAAACCACAUAAAACAAGUCAUCAAGCAGAGUCACUGCAGAUGAAUGAGCGAUCAAAGUUUACCAACUGUUGUUUUCGAUGAGCAAACACAGCAGCAUCCACACUUUGAAUCCAACUGGGGACCUUUGUUGUAUGUCAUCCCUCCACCUUUGACAUUUCCUGUCGCCUCACCUCUCUGAUUACGAAAGGCCCUACCUUAAGCCAGUGUUUGAUAUCAACAGGAAUAAGAAAACGGUACCACCAAACAACUAAAUGAAACCAGAAAUAUGAUGUGGAUCAACAACACAGUGUUUUCUAUA